rnacentral:rRNA from 1 species
CUACGGGAGGCAGCAGUAGGGAAUCUUCGGCAAUGGACGAAAGUCUGGCCGAGCAACGCCGCGUGAGUGAAGAAGGUUUUCGGAUCGUAAAACUCUGUUGUUAGAGAAGAACGCUGCAUAGAGUGGAAAAUUAUGCAAGUGACGGUAUCUAACCAGAAAGGGACGGCUAACUACGUGCCAGCAGCCGCGGUAAU